UACGUAGGGUGCAAGCGUUGUCCGGAAUUAUUGGGCGUAAAGAGCUCGUAGGCGGUCUGUCGCGUCGGCUGUGAAAACCCGGAGCUCAACUCCGGGCCUGCAGUCGAUACGGGCAAACUGGAGUACUGCAGGGGAGACUGGAAUUCCUGGUGUAGCGGUGAAAUGCGUAGAUAUCAGGAGGAACACCGGUGGUGUAGACGGGCUCUCUGGACCGUAACUGACGCUGAGGCACGAAAGCGUGGGUAGCAAACAGGAUUAGACGUACCCCAGUAG
rnacentral:rRNA from 1 species